GACGUAGGGCGCGAGCGUUUGUCCGGAUUUAUUGGGCGUAAAGAGCUUGUAGGCGGCUUGUCGCGUCGAAUGUGAAAUCUCAGGGCUCAACUCUGACAUUGCAUUCGAUACGGGCAGGCUAGAGUUCGGUAGGGGAGACUGGAAUUCCUGGUGUAGCGGUGAAAUGCGCAGAUAUCAGGAGGAACACCGGUGGCGAAGGCGGGUCUCUGGGCCGAUACUGACGCUGAGGAGCGAAAGCGUGGGGAGCGAACAGG
rnacentral:rRNA from 1 species